rnacentral:rRNA from 1 species
GAUGAACGCUGGCGGCGUGCCUAAUACAUGCAAGUCGAGCGAACAGACGAGGAGCUUGCUCUUCUGACGUUAGCGGCGGACGGGUGAGUAACACGUGGAUAACCUACCUAUUAGACUGGGAUAACUACGGGAAACCGGAGCUAAUACCGCAUAAUAUAUUGAAUCGCAGGGCUCAACAGUGAAAGACGGUUUUGCUGUCACCGAUAGUAGAAUCCGCGCCGCAUUUGCUAGUUGGUAAGGUAACGGCUUACCAAGGCGACGACGCGUAGCCGACCUGAGGGGGUGGUCGGCCACACUGGAGCAGAGACACGGUCCAGACUCCUGCGGGGGGCAGCAGUAGAGACUCUUACGCAAUGGGGGAGAGCCUGACAGAGCAACACCGCGUGAGUGAUGAUGCACUUCGGAUCCUAAAACGCUGUUAUUAGGGGAGAUCAAAUGUGUAAGUAACUAUGCACGUAUUGACGGUACCUAAUCAGAAAGCCCCGGCUAACUACGUG